GCUCCCAUGGCGUAGUGGUCACUGCGCUCGCCUUGCACGCGGGAGCCCCGGUUCGAUUCCCGGCGGGGUCA
rnacentral:tRNA from 1 species